AUGGGUUUUAAUAGGCCCCCAGCCCGUUCUAACGCCGUUUUAAGGUGCUUUCCAGGAGGGCAGCCCCGCUGCAGCGCCUCCGCACAAGCGCAAGGCUCUCCCGACACGCCGGCGCCAGAGGGAAGCUGGAAGAGGUUCAACACUCACCCUAAUCCGUUCGGGUUUACUUACAAGAAAAGACAUGGAAUCCGCGUUACCGUUACCACACGCAGCUCGGGACAGGACGGGCAAACCUGCGGGCACAACAGCGGGUCACCCCGGAGCGCAGCGCUCACCCGUCCGCCUUCCGGCAGCCCCACGGUGCCGAGCGAGGCGCACCGGAGCGCGGGCAAGGCCAGGGAGCACGGCCCCGGGAGAGCACGGCCCGGGGAGCACGGCCCCGGGGGAGCACGGCCCGGGGAGCACGGGCCCGGGGCGGCCGCCCCCCCCGCCCCUCACCCGUGCCUCAGGCUGCGGCCGCCGCUCCACCGGCAGAGAGACACCGCGCGCGUGACGCCAGCACGCCGCCGCGUGACGCGGCGCGAGCGUGACGUCGCCUCGCCGGCGGGAAGAGGUCGGCGCCAUGUUGGCUCCCUCGGGGGGUUGCGGAGGCUGAGGUGGUGGGAAUGCGGCUGCAGCGGUUUUAACACGGGCAGUGACGUCUCCAUGGCAGCCCAUCCUGUGGGGUUUCAUAGCUUCAUUGGUGAUGUUAAUGAAGGGAUCGAGGGCACCCGCGGUAAAUUUAGUUGGGAGAGUUGGUCUGCAGAGGGAUCCAGACAGGCUGGACCCAUGGGCUGUAGCGAUGGUAUCAGAUUGAACAAGGCGAAGGACCUGCGCUCAGGCCCCAACAACCCCCUGCAACGUUCCAAACUUAGGGAGAGAGUGGCUGGAAACUGCUCAUGGAAAAGACCUGGGCAUGCAGCCAAGAAGCCACCGGCAUCCUGGCCUGUACCAGCACCAGUGCAACAGCAGGGCCAGGGCAGUGGUUGUGCCCCUGCACUGCUCACUGGUGGGGCUGCACCUUGA
rnacentral:lncRNA from 1 species